UACGUAGGGUGCGAGCGUUGUCCGGAAUUAUUGGGCGUAAAGGGCUCGUAGGCGGUCUGUCACGUCGAAAGUGAAAACUCAGGGCUUAACCCUGAGCCUGCUCCCGAUACGGGCAGACUAGAGGUAUGCAGGGGAGAACGGAAUUCCUGGUGUAGCGGUGAAAUGCGCAGAUAUCAGGAGGAACACCGGUGGCGAAGGCGGCCUUCUGGACAGUGACUGACGCUGAGACGCGAAAGCGUGGGGAGCAAACAGG
rnacentral:rRNA from 1 species